rnacentral:tRNA from 1 species
UGGGAUGUAGCCAAGAGGUUACGGCACCGGUCUCUGAAACCGGCAUCGAUGGUUCGAAUCCAUCCAUCCCAGCCA